UCAUGAUGUAACCUCAGAGAGGAAAGGAA
rnacentral:piRNA from 1 species